rnacentral:rRNA from 1 species
CCUACGGGUGGCAGCAGUGAGGAAUAUUGGUCAAUGGACGAGAGUCUGAACCAGCCAAGUAGCGUGAAGGAUGACUGCCCUAUGGGUUGUAAACUUCUUUUAUAUGGGAAUAAAAUGUUCCACGUGUGGGAUUUUGUAUGUACCAUAUGAAUAAGGAUCGGCUAACUCCGUGCCAGCAGCCGCGGUAAUACUGAGGAUCCGAUCGUUAUCCGGAUUUAUUGGGUUUAAAGGGAGCGUCGGUGGAUUGUUAAGUCAGUUGUGAAAGUUUGCGGCUCAACCGUAAAAUUGCAGUUGAAACUGGCAGUCUUGAGUACAGUAGAGGUGGGCGGAAUGCGUGGUGUAGCGGUGAAAUGCUUAGAUAUCACGAAGAACUCCGAUUGCGAAGGCAGUUCACUGGACUGCAACUGACACUGAGGCUCGAAAGUGUGGGUAUCAAACAGGAUUAGAUACCCGGGUAGUC